AUAUAACUAGAACUCUGGUGAUGUAACAUGCCUGGUGUGCUUGUCUGAGAGACACGGCAGCUUAGGGAAAUAAGUCUCUGCAGCAUUGUAGGAAAGAGAGAAUACAGGACAACUGUAGGACCACAGCUCAACCAAGAUGAGCUCAAGUGUUGCAAGUAUCUGCUUAAAACACCAUGUGAUGCUAAUCAUCUCUGCAUGAGCAGUUUCUCUCUCCAGUAAAUUGCUUAUCACAGUAAAAAUAGGUCCUUCUACUUCAGACUCCAAGCAUCUGGAGAACAAGAACUACGUCUUUUCUAUUUCAUGUACUCAGUUCCUCACACAAUGCAUGGUGCAAGUGGGAGUCUACAUAAAAUAUUCAAUGGAUAAAUGGAGCAGCGGUGAUGCAAAUAAGACCCAGUGUUAACAAAAGGAUGCAAUCAACUCCAAGAUCAACUGCCAAGACGAAAACCAGGACCAAGGAAAGCAUCUGACAUAAAAUGAUUUUUAAGAUUAAUGUAGUAGAUAUUUCCAAUUUUUUUUCUACCCUUCAUCUG